GAUUUCUACAUUCGACUCGUGCACGUCGCACGGACUUGUUUCGGUAAAACGUAGAUGCGUUAUCUUGACAUUGAAUUUGUUUCCCGAAGUGUGCACUGUUAUUUAGACGAAGAAUAAAAGACAAUGGAGAAAUCACCGAAACCAGUGCGAGACCCAAAGAUUGUGUACACAAAGAUCUUUAUCAACAAUGAGUUUGUGGAUUCUGUCAGCAGCUCUUCAAGUUUAAGACUCUGGAUGAGGUGAUCGAGCGAGCCAAUGCCACCACAUACGGCCUGGGCGCCGCCAUCUUUACCAAGAACAUCGAUAACGCCAUGAUGUUCACGCAGGGUGUUCGCGCAGGAACAGUGUGGGUGAACCUGUAUGACGUGGUACACCCACAGGCGCCGUUUGGAGGCUUUAAGAUGUCCGGCCUAGGGCGUGAGCUUGGAGAGUACGGAAUAUCUGCUUAUCAGGAGGUCAAGUCGGUGAUCAUGAAAAUUCCGCAGAAGAAUUCUUAAGUCCCGAGAGAGACCUGGUAACCUGGUAACCUGGCCUGUGAACUAUCAAACAGUAAUGGCGAACAGUCGUUAAAUCUUGAGACAUAGAAAAAAUUGCUACAUGCACUGCAUAAUCCUUGAACUGUUAUCAUAUGAUUCAGUAGUAACCAGUUGUCAAUAUAUCACAUGCUUUAUAGUCUAGACUUAGUAUUUGUUCGAAGCGAGGUUGUGUUUUUGUAUAUAUUACACCGUAUGUAACUCCAUGUAAUCAGAUUUAUUUUUUGUGGUAUGAAUGUAUGAAUAAUGUUAGUGUUGCGUAAAUAUAGGUUGUUAAAACUUUAGGUUAGUGCUUGCUUUCUGUAACAUUAGAUUAAUAAAGUAAUAUAACUUGC
rnacentral:misc_RNA from 1 species